AUUGAACGCUGGCGGCAUGCCUUACACAUGCAAGUCGAACGGCAGCACGGGAGCAAUCCUGGUGGCGAGUGGCGAACGGGUGAGUAAUAUAUCGGAACGUGCCCGGUCGUGGGGGAUAACGUAGCGAAAGCUACGCUAAUACCGCAUACGAUCUACGGAUGAAAGCGGGGGAUCGCAAGACCUCGCGCGAUUGGAGCGGCCGAUAUCAGAUUAGGUAGUUGGUGAGGUAAAGGCUCACCAAGCCGACGAUCUGUAGCUGGUCUGAGAGGACGACCAGCCACACUGGGACUGAGACACGGCCCAGACUCCUACGGGAGGCAGCAGUGGGGAAUUUUGGACAAUGGGCGCAAGCCUGAUCCAGCAAUGCCGCGUGCAGGAUGAAGGCCUUCGGGUUGUAAACUGCUUUUGUACGGAACGAAACGGUGAGCUCUAAUACAGUUUGCUAAUGACGGUAUCGUAAGAAUAAGCACCGGCUAACUACGUG
rnacentral:rRNA from 1 species